rnacentral:rRNA from 1 species
UUUAAUUGAAGAGUUUGAUCAUGGCUCAGAUUGAACGCUGGCGGCAGGCCUAACACAUGCAAGUCGAGCGGUAACAGAGAGUAGCUUGCUACUUUGCUGACGAGCGGCGGACGGGUGAGUAAUGCUUGGGAACAUGCCUUGAGGUGGGGGACAACAGUUGGAAACGACUGCUAAUACCGCAUAAUGUCUACGGACCAAAGGGGGCU